CACUCCUGCGGGAGGCAGCAGUGGGGAAUUUUGGACAAUGGGCGAAAGCCUGAUCCAGCAAUGCCGCGUGAGUGAAGAAGGCCUUCGGGUUGUAAAGCUCUUUUGUCAGGGAAGAAACGGUGAGAGCUAAUAUCUCUUGCUAAUGACGGUACCUGAAGAAUAAGCACCGGCUAACUACGUGCCAGCAGCCGCGGUAAUACGUAGGGUGCAAGCGUUAAUCGGAAUUACUGGGCGUAAAGCGUGCGCAGGCGGUUUUGUAAGUCUGAUGUGAAAUCCCCGGGCUCAACCUGGGAAUUGCAUUGGAGACUGCAAGGCUAGAAUCUGGCAGAGGGGGGUAGAAUUCCACGUGUAGCAGUGAAAUGCGUAGAUAUGUGGAGGAACACCGAUGGCGAAGGCAGCCCCCUGGGUCAAGAUUGACGCUCAUGCACGAAAGCGUGGGGAGCAAACAGGAUUAGAAACCCCAGUAGUCCCAUG
rnacentral:rRNA from 1 species